GACGAACGCUGGCGGCGCGCCUAACACAUGCCAGUCGAACGAGCGAGCGAGAGCUUGCUUUCUCGAGCGAGUGGCGAACGGGUGAGUAACGCGUGAGGAACCUGCCUCAAAGAGGGGGACAACAGUUGGAAACGACUGCUAAUACCGCAUAAGCCCACGACCCGGCAUCGGGUAGAGGGAAAAGGAGCAAUCCGCUUUGAGAUGGCCUCGCGUCCGAUUAGCUAGUUGGUGAGGUAACGGCCCACCAAGGCGACGAUCGGUAGCCGGACUGAGAGGUUGAACGGCCACAUUGGGACUGAGACACGGCCCAAACUCCUACGGGAGGCAGCAGUGGGGAAUAUUGCACAAUGGGGGAAACCCUGAUGCAGCGACGCCGCGUGGAGGAAGAAGGUCUUCGGAUUGUAAACUCCUGUUGUUGAGGAAGAUAAUGACGGUACUCAACAAGGAAGUGACGGCUAACUACGUG
rnacentral:rRNA from 1 species